rnacentral:rRNA from 1 species
AUGAACGCUGGCGGCGUGCCUCAUACAUGCCAGUCGAGCGAACGGACGAGAAGCUUGCUUCUCUGAUGUUAGCGGCGGACGGGUGAGUAACACGUGGAUAACCUACCUAUAAGACUGGGAUAACUUCGGGAAACCGGAGCUAAUACCGGAUAAUAUUUUGAACCGCAUGGUUCAAAAGUGAAAGACGGUCUUGCUGUCACUUAUAGAUGGAUCCGCGCUGCAUUAGCUAGUUGGUAAGGUAACGGCUUACCAAGGCAACGAUGCAUAGCCGACCUGAGAGGGUGAUCGGCCACACUGGAACUGAGACACGGUCCAGACUCCUACGGGAGGCAGCAGUAGGGAAUCUUCCGCAAUGGGCGAAAGCCUGACGGAGCAACGCCGCGUGAGUGAUGAAGGUCUUCGGAUCGUAAAACUCUGUUAUUAGGGAAGAACAUAUGUGUAAGUAACUGUGCACAUCUUGACGGUACCUAAUCAGAAAGCCACGGCUAACUACGUG